rnacentral:rRNA from 1 species
UACGAAGGGGGCUAGCGUUGCUCGGAAUCACUGGGCGUAAAGGGUGCGUAGGCGGGUCUUUAAGUCAGAGGUGAAAUCCUGGAGCUCAACUCCAGAACUGCCUUUGAUACUGAGGAUCUUGAGUUCGGGAGAGGUGAGUGGAACUGCGAGUGUAGAGGUGAAAUUCGUAGAUAUUCGCAAGAACACCAGUGGCGAAGGCGGCUCACUGGCCAGAUACUGACGCUGAGGCACGAAAGCGUGGGGAGCAAACAGG